GUGAGGAGGUGAUAAAACUAGCAACGGGCGAAAGAGGUCGUGCUAGCCGUUUUGGACAUCUGAGGGUCUCCCUCCCGAGAGAGCACAGGAAGAGGGAAUAUGAUCUUACCUGAAACAGCAUAAGACACGGAGCCAGGAACUCAGGCGCAUCCUCAAUCUGGCGGUGCUGUCCGGUAACCCCAGCACUCAAGAGAUGGAGGCCUGAGCAUCAGGAGUUCGAAGCCAGCCUGGGAGCCCUCCAAAACCAAGCAACAACAAAAUGAAUAAAUCUAAUUCUGCAUAAGCCAUAAUAACCAUGUUGACCUGGGGAUAAGAUUGUUCCCUUUAAAGGAGAACAUUUGUUUUGGUUUGGGAGAGGGCAGGGUCUCACUGUGCAGAUGACUGGAACUCACUUAUGUACUCAGAAAGUGUCUUUGAACACAGAGAUUCACCAUCCUCUGUCUCCUGUGUGCUGGGAUUAAAUAUGUAAAACAUGGUUCUCUAAAGAACAUUUGUACCACUGCUCUUAGUUCAGAACAGUUCUCAAAAGAUGUAAAAAAGAAAAAAAGAAAAACGAGGUAGGUAUCAUUCGUAUCCAUUACUACAGCUACCAAGGAGAAAUCAGAAAAUAGCAAGUGUUGGUAAAUACGUGGACAAAUUGGAAUUUCAGUUGAACAUUGUUGGUAGGAAGAUAAAAUGGUAUAACUUAUAGGAAAAAAAUCUGGCUUUUCCUAAAAAGGAAAAACAACAAAAAUAGCAUUAUGAUGUGGUUAUAAUUCCACUUCUGGAUAUAAAAUUAUUCCCCAAAUUUGAAACAAUGUCUUCGUGAGACAUUUGUAUACCCAUAUUCCUAGCAAAAUUAUUCAUAAGAGCCAAAAGUGGCAACAUCCCUAGAAUGGCUAAUCCAAAUGUGGUCCACUCCACAGAUGAGGGAAUAUUAUUCAACUUUGAAGAGGAAGGGGAGCCACGUACAAUGUUGCAUGCCUGUGAUCCUAGCAUCCGUGAAGUAGAGGCAGCAGGACAAGGAAUUUAAAGGACAUCAACUUUGGUUACAUAUUAAGGCAUUUUAUGCUGAGUGAAAUAUAAAAUGCAUGUCACCAAAAGACAACAGCAAAUGGUUCCAAGUAUAUGAAACAGAUAUGACAAUAGCAUAUGAUCCCUCAUAUAGGAGAUGCAUGAGGUAAAAAGCAUAUGAUUCCACCAACAUGAUAUGUACAGGAGAAUAGCAAAUGAUUCUCUGCGUGAGAUGCAUAGAGUAAACACGAGAAUGACUCUAACCCUGAGAUACACAGGACAGCAGUUUAUGAUUCCACCUACAUGGAAUGCACAGUGUGAAAGUACAACGCCAACAGUGCGAGAUGCCGAAGACAGUGGCAUGUGAGUCCACUUACAUGAGGCCCUCGAGACAAUAGCAUGUUAUUCUAACAGUGUGAUAUGUACAAGACAAUGGCAAACAUCUAUACAAGAUGACUCCACCUUCUUGAGACCCUUGAGACAAUAGCAUAUAGUUCCAUCAUCACAAUUUCACAAGAAAAUAGCAUGUGGUUCCACCUGUACAUGAUAAAUCGCAUGAUAGUGAAGGAUCCCUAUGUAAGCUAGACAAGAUAACAGCAUGUGAUUCCACUAAUGCGUGAUAUGAAGGACAAUUGCUUAUGAAGACACCAACCUGAGAUGCACAAGACAAUAAGCAAAUGAUUACACAUAUAUAAUGUGCAUAAAACAAUAGCAUAUGCUUCAAACUUUGUGGGAUGUAUAAGACAAUGGUGUAAGAGUCCACUGAGGUGCACGUGACGUGCAUGUCCUAUGAGAUGCAUGAGACGAUAGCAUACGAGUGCACCUGUACGAGAAAAGCAAGAUCGUAACAAAUGAUCCCAACAGUGUAUGCAUGACACAAAAGACAAAUGUAAGCGAUAUCACCUACAUGAGGUGCACAAGACAACAGUGAAUGAUCCCGCUCAUGUGAUCAUACAACAAUAGCUUAUGGGUCCCUCUAGAUGAACAGAAACAGAGCAGAUGAUUUCACCUCUGAGAUGCACAAGACAAUAGUGUGUGGUUCUUCCAACACGUGAGGCACAAGAUAGUAAGUGAAUGGUUCCACCUAUACAAGAUGUACAAGACAACAGGAUCCCACUAGAUGAUAUGCGCAAGGAAAUAGUUAGUGAUUCUGCCUAUGUGAACUG
rnacentral:sRNA from 1 species